rnacentral:rRNA from 1 species
GGAGCUGGUAUCAGGCACAACUUUUUCGCCCAUAACACCUAGCCUCGCCACACCCACAAGGGAAUUCAGCAGUGAUAAACAUUGAGCAUAAGCGAUAGCUUGACUCAGUUAAAUUAAACAGAGCCGGCCAAUCUGGUGCCAGCCGCCGCGGUUACACCACUGUGGCUCAAAUUGACUUCUUUCGGCGUAAAGCGUGCUUAAAGCUUAAAAUUUCUUGGAAUUAAACUGAAACUAAGCUGUGACACGCUUGUUACUCAAGAAAACCAAAAACGAAAGUUAUUCCAAUUUUUUCAACUUGAAUUCACGACAACUAGGAAACAAACUGGGAUUAGAUACCCCACUAUGCCUAGUCGUAAACCUUAAUCUACUCCUACAUCGCCUGGGAACUACGAGCUAAGCUUAAAACCCAAAGGACUUGACGGUACCCCAUAUCCCCCUAGAGGAGCCUGUCCUAUAAUCGAUAACCCCCGUUUAACCUCACCAUUUUUUGCCAGUCAGCCUGUAUACCUCCGUCGUCAGCUUACCACGUGAGCGUCAGUGAGCCUAAUGUUUUUCCAACUACACGUCAGGUCAAGGUGCAACAUAUAAAAUGGGAAGAGAUGGGCUACACUUUCUACUAUAGAAUAAACGAAAGACUAAAUGAAACCUAGUCAGAAGGCGGAUUUAGCAGUAAAAUGAAACUAGAGCGUUCACUUAAAUGCGGCACUGGGGUGUGUACACACCGCCC